GUCUCUCUCUCUCUCUCUCUCUCUCUCUCCAGAGGUAUCAGUCUCUCUCCAGUAUCAGUGUAUCUUCAGACUUACCCAGCAUCGUUGUCCGUCCUCUUCAGUCCUUUGGAGAUGUGAGUCAGACUGUGUCUGAACUGAGAGAGAAACUAGAAGACUUCCUUAAAGGAGAAUGGACCAAGAUCUCCACUACAGUGAAUAUAGUGGAUGUUGUACUGCCUCCAGAGCCCAAGACCAGAGAACAGUUGUUACAAUAUUCCUGUCAGCUCACACUGGACCCAAACACAGCACACACACGCCUCUCUCUGUCUGAAGGGAACAGAAAGGUGACACGUACAGACCAAGUCCAACCAUAUCCUGUCCAUCCAGACAGAUUCACCUACUGGUGUCAGGUUCUGUGUAGAGAGGGUCUGUCUGGACGCUGUUACUGGGAGGUGGAGAGGACUGGUGGUGUUGAUACAGCAGUCUCAUAUAAAGACAUCAGCAGAACAGGGAGAGAUGGUGGAUUUGGAGACAAUAACAAGUCCUGGAGUUUAUAUUACGAUAGUGUUGGUUAUUGUUUCAGACACCAUAAUGUUGAGACUAAAGUAUCAGGCCCUCAGUCCUCCAGAGUAGGAGUGUACCUGGAUCACAAGGCAGGUACUCUGUCCUUCUACAGUGUCUCUGACACAAUGACCCUCCUCCACAGAGUCCAGACCACAUUCACUCAGCCCCUCUAUCCUGGGUUUGGAUUUUGUUAUGGUCCUAUUUUUUAUGUCUCUGGUACUGCUGAGCUGGUUAGACUGUAGUAGGGUCCACAUAGAUACUAGUCAUGCUGGUGUAGUCUAUAGCUGAGCUGGUUAGACUGUAGUAGGGUCCACAUAGAUACUAGUCAUGCUGGCGUAGUCUAUAGCUGAGCUGGUUAGACUGUAGUAGGGUCCACAUAGAUACUAGUCAUGCUGGUGUAGUCUAUAGCUGAGCUGGUUAGACUGUAGUAGGGUCCACAUAGAUACUAGUCAUGCUGGCGUAGUCUAUAGCUGAGCUGGUUAGACUGUAGUAGGGUCCACAUAGAUACUAGUCAUGCUGGUGUAGUCUAUAGCUGAGCUGGUUAGACUGUAGUAGGGUCCACAUAGAUACUAGUCAUGCUGGUGUAGUCUAUAGCUGAGCUGGUUAGACUGUAGUAGGGUCCACAUAGAUACUAGUCAUGCUGGUGUAGUCUAUAGCUGAGCUGGUUAGACUGUAGUAGGGUCCACAUAGAUACUAGUCAUGCUGGCGUAGUCUAUAGCUGAGCUGGUUAGACUGUAGUAGGGUCCACAUAGAUACUAGUCAUGCUGGUGUAGUCUAUAGCUGAGCUGGUUAGACUGUAGUAGGGUCCACAUAGAUACUAGUCAUGCUGGUGUAGUCUAUAGCUGAGCUGGUUAGACUGUAGUAGGGUCCACAUAGAUACUAGUCAUGCUGGUGUAGUCUAUAGCUGAGCUGGUUAGACUGUAGUAGGGUCCACAUAGAUACUAGUCAUGCUGGUGUAGUCUAUAGCUGAGCUGGUUAGACUGUAGUAGGGUCCACAUAGAUACUAGUCAUGCUGGUUUAGUCUAUAGCUGAGCUGGUUAGACUGUAGUAGGGACCACAUAGAUACUAGUCAUGCUGGUGUAGUCUAUAGCUGAGCUGGUUAGACUGUAGUAGGGUCCACAUAGAUACUAGUCAUGCUGGUGUAGUCUAUAGCUGAGCUGGUUAGACUGUAGUAGGGUCCACAUAGAUACUAGUCAUGCUGGUGUAGUCUAUAGCUGAGCUGGUUAGACUGUAGUAGGGUCCACAUAGAUACUAGUCAUGCUGGUGUAGUCUAUAGCUGAGCUGGUUAGACUGUAGUAGGGUCCACAUAGAUACUAGUCAUGCUGGUGUAGUCUAUAGCUGAGCUGGUUAGACUGUAGUAGGGUCCACAUAGAUACUAGUCAUGCUGGUGUAGUCUAUAGCUGAGCUGGUUAGACUGUAGUAGGGUCCACAUAGAUACUAGUCAUGCUGGUGUAGUCUAUAGCUGAGCUGGUUAGACUGUAGUAGGGUCCACAUAGAUACUAGUCAUGCUGGUGUAGUCUAUAGCUGAUCUGGUUAGACUGUAGUAGGGUCCACAUAGAUACUAGUCAUGCUGGUGUAGUCUAUAGCUGAGCUGGUUAGACUGUAGUAGGGACCACAUAGAUACUAGUCAUGCUGGUGUAGUCUAUAGCUGAGCUGGUUAGACUGUAGUAGGGUCCACAUAGAUACUAGUCAUGCUGGUGUAGUCUAUAGCUGAGCUGGUUAGACUGUAGUAGGGUCCACAUAGAUACUAGUCAUGCUGGUGGUGAAGGUCCCCAGAUGUGAUGAUUCAUUCUGCUCUGUUUUAUCUACAAUGAUUUAACUGAUUUGAUCUUCAGAAGAGGUUAUGAAUUAAAAUUCAAUGUUUUCAUAUUUUUGUAAUUGCAAUGUUUUAAUCUUGUACAUUUCCAUGAAUCAUGAUGUCUGGUGUUGAUGUAUAUUGGUUGUCAUUCAGAACCAUUGAUAUGUUUUCUCAGUUGGUUCUCUGUCUCUAUGUAAUUCUCCUCAGUAUCAUUGAUCAGCUUGUUGGCUCGGUCCUAAUUGAUGUGUUCUCUGUCACCUGGAGCUGCAUGGAAAAUGGUCCAGGAACUAAAGGACAAUUCAGGACUAGUCAGCCCACUACAAGCUGGUAUCACUUCCUUUCUACUAAACUAUAUGGUCUGGUUUCCCAGACACAGAUGAAUCCUAGUCCUGGACUAAACAGUAUGUUCAAUGUAGAUGUCCAGGAAACCGGCCCUAAAUGUGUCAUCUUUCAUCCUCCCAUACUGCUCAGUCCAGCAACAUUAAACCUGUCCAGCAGGUGGUGCUGUUGACCAAACAAUAAAACCAGCAGAUAUCUUGACUUGCCACUCAGUAUAUCAGUAAUGUUCAGAAUAGUACUUUAAUAUCAUUGGAGAUUGAUGGUCUUUUUAAUCCACUAUCCAGAGUCAGGAACAGAUGAAGUUAGGUCUGCUACUGUUCAGUGAUUAAAUAUGAUUUAUGGUGAUGGGAAAUAAUAAAAAACACUCAACUUCAUCUAGUAAUAGUUUUCCUUUUGUUAUUUAUUCCAAGGUGUGUCUUUAACUUGUAAAUG